rfam:Triticum aestivum genome assembly, contig: Triticum_aestivum_CS42_TGACv1_scaffold_021117_1AS
CUAAUUGAUGAGGAUGAACUGAAGGAGUAUAUCCUUGGUGGUCUUGAUGGAGAAUAUAACUCUGUGGUUGCCUCUAUUAACACUGUUCCUACCUCAACU